GUUAAGAUUACUGGGCACAAAACUCACUGUAUCCGACUUACCAAUUAACAAUUGAUCUCAUUCAGGCAUUCCAUCAAACACAUCACAAGGCAUGAAAAGAUAAGCACAAAGACACCAAAUUUACGUGGUUCAGCAACAAGUGCCUACAUCCACAGGGAGGAGGAGCAAUCCACUAUGUCAAUCUUCCCAAUAGGGUACAAACAUAGAUACAUAAGAGUCCAAAAUAUGGACUGCCAAAUGAUCACAAUAGGAGGCAAAAUAAACCAAAUAUAAAGCAAAACAACCUGAUCGGAUCACCCUUCUGCAGCCAUAAUGAUAGAUCAAAAGUGU
rnacentral:lncRNA from 1 species